CGUUGUGGGGAGAGGGAAGAGGGGGAGCCAUCUGGUACCUUGGUGGCUUCUGAAACAAACAACAUCGGUCUUAACAACAGAAAUGGCCAGUCAAUCCCAGGGUAUCCAGCAGCUCCUGCAAGCCGAGAAGCGGGCGGCUGAGAAGGUGGCAGAUGCCAGAAAGAGGAAGGCCCAGCAUCUGAAGCAGGCAAAGGAGGAGGCACAAAUGGAGGUGGACCAGUACCGCAGAGAGAGAGAGCAAGAAUUCCAGAGCAAGCAGCAGGCAGCCAUGGGCUCCCAAGGGAACUUGUCAGCUGAGGUGGAGCAGGCUACAAGGCGCCAGGUGCAGGGCAUGCAGAGCUCCCAGCAGAGAAACCGUGAACGUGUCCUGGCCCAGCUUCUCGGCAUGGUCUGUGACGUCAGGCCCCAGGUCCACCCCGACUACCGGAUUGCUGCCUAGGACCUAACCUAGGGCCUGACUGCUCCCCCCAGUUCCCUCCUGCCAAGAAAUCCUCAAGUCAAAACCAACUUCCACCAUAAUUCUUCUCUCCCUUGCAUUCCCUAGAAAUUCUAGGAAGCAGGAUCCAAUGAUUCUCCUGUGAAACUUAGACAUACCCUGCUCAGACCAGAAUCUCCUUAUUGCUCUUUUACCAGGACCGUGUAAACUGCCAAGUCACCUUCACUCAGAUCGUUUGUGAAAUUUGUAGCUUGGAGAAGUAGGGAUGUGGAAAACACUGACUUCAGGGCCAGGCAGGCUUGGGUCCCUCUCCUGACUUUGCCACUUGCUGGCUGGGCAACCAUGACAAGCUACUUAAACUGU